AUACGGAGGAUCCAAGCGUUAUCCGGAAUCAUUGGGUUUAAAGGGUCCGUAGGUGGAUAAUUAAGUCAGAGGUGAAAGUCUGCAGCUCAACUGUAGAAUUGCCUUUGAUACUGGUUAUCUUGAGUCAUUAUGAAGUGGUUAGAAUAUGUAGUGUAGCGGUGAAAUGCAUAGAUAUUACAUAGAAUACCAAUUGCGAAGGCAGAUCACUAAUAAUGUACUGACACUGAUGGACGAAAGCGUGGGGAGCGAACAGGAUUAGAUACCCUGGUAGUCCACGCCGUAAACGAUGGUCACUAGCUGUUCGAACUUCGGUUUGAGUGGCUAAGCGAAAGUGAUAAGUGACCCACCUGGGGAGUACGUUCGCAAGAAUGAA
rnacentral:rRNA from 1 species